UUCUCGUUCAUUGAAUGUCUUUCUUACAUCUCAUCUCAAGAUUUCUUGAACGCCGUGUGAUUUUCUUCCUUAGUUUAUUUAUGUUCAUAUUUUAAAUUGGGUAUCUUAACAGGUUGCUGGGUUUGGUGGAUCGUCCUGUCCCUUCAUGUUCUGCAGCACAGGGUGGUAGCUGGCAGUCACCAUUGUUACAAAAGAAUUCUUCAAGAGCACCAGAGUUCAAUUUGCUACAGACUCCUCUUGUGGUUAAGAAAGCUGAAGUUUUGGCCACAUCUGCUUCUGGUUUUCCCGGCUUUACUCCUCGGUCUAUCCUCAGAUCCAGCGUUCGCAGCACACCCCAGGCAACUCCCUCUGCGUUUCCAGGAGAAUCAGUUACUCCUCCUCCCAGAGCAAACAAACACAGAGUGUCUUUCAAGGAAGGGAACUCAGAUGAGAAAUGGACUGUUGGGAAUGAUCGCCAUCCU